UGGAGAGGUGGCCGAGUGGUUGAAGGCGCAGCACUGGAAAUGCUGUUAGGAGGCAACUUCUACGAGGGUUCGAAUCCCUCCCUCUCCGU
rnacentral:tRNA from 1 species